rnacentral:rRNA from 1 species
CAACACAACCCCCAUCCACCCUCUACAACCGAAAAAACGCGCCCCCUACCCCCGGCGCGGCUUUGGGUGGGGAGGGGUGGGGGGUUCAAAAAGUCCCGGCUAAUCUCGUGCCAGCAGCCGCGGUAAUACGAGAGGGGCGAGCGUUAUUCGGAAUGAUUGGGCGUAAAGCGUGCGUAGAUUGUUUAAUUUUAAUAUUUAAA